CGUCAGCUCGUGUCGUGAGAUGUUCGGUUAAGUCCGCUAACGAGCGCAACCCUCGCUGUGUGUUACAAAGUGUCACACGGAACUGCCGGUCAUAAACCGGAGGAAGGUGGGGAUGACGUCAAGUCAGCAUGGCCUUUAUAUCCUGGGCUACACACACGCUACAAUGGGAAGGGACAAUAGGUUGCGAAGCCGCGAGGCGGAGCCAAUCCAGCAAAACUUCCCUCAGUUCAGAUUGCAGGCUGCAACCCGCCUGCAUGAAGUUGGAGUUGCUAGUAAACGCAGGUCAGCCAUACUGCGUUGAAUACGUUCCCGGGGCUU
rnacentral:rRNA from 1 species